rnacentral:lncRNA from 1 species
GGUUCGCAGUGUGCAGCUCCAUCCAUGAACCAGGUAGUUCAGGGAGGAGGAAUCCUCCUUUCCCAGCGUGGCUGCCACAAAAAGCAGCACAUCAGCCUGCAGAGCCUCUUAGCAGACUAUUGACUUAGGCAGGUGUUGCCAGUACCUGUGAAACAGGGAUGGCAGAGUCUCUGGUAGGUGCAUCAUGCUUUGCCUGCAAAGUUGAUUGCUCUGGUAAGAUACUCUGAGAGCCUUAGAAUAACCAUUCACUAAAAAAAAAAAAAAAAAAAGGGAUAAUAUCUGCUUUAUCAGGACAUGCUUCCUGUAUGCAAUGAGGACAGAGGCAGGCGGAGUGAACGUUAUCUUUAACUCCAGGGUAACUUAUUACUGAGUGUCAUUCUGCUCAGUGUGCUCUUUUAAUACUGAUUGUGCCAAUAGCUUCAGCAAAUAGACUGGAAGUUCCUACAGUUCAUUCUUUGGGAAAAGGUCAUUCACCUCACACUGUAAAUGCUCCCACUAAAGAGGUGUGUUUUCUUCAGGGGUCAGUGUACCUCACCUGUUGGACUGACCUUCACACAUGACUCAGGAGCAGAAUGAAUCACAGCUCGUAGCACAUCCAGAGCAGGAGGACAGGGAACCUUGUCACUGCAUUGCCACAGUGACAUUACCACUGAUGGGAGCUCGGAGGAGACGUCUUGGGAUGACAGGGCUGAAAGAAGAAAUGUAGCUUCCUCCCUGCUGGGAACUGCCUGUUUCUGGCAUCUGCACCACUGAAGAGACACUGGUGAAGGUGUGAUCCAUUCCAGCUGCAUAUACAAAUAUGAAGAUCUUCUGGUUAAUACAAUUUUUCCUGCUGCAAGACACUGAAGCUUUUCUGAUAAAAAAUGCUAAAUUCAACCUGUGUUUACAAGCCAGUCCAACAAAUAGCAAUUUAUUACUAGAGAACUGUAAUCCAGAGUCAGAUUUCCAGGACUGGUCUUGGCAAGGCGACUCUUUGGUGAAUCAUGGCACGCAGACCUGCCUCUCUGUGUUGGGCGCUGACAGAGUGCAGACAAGUCUCUGUGCCAGCACGGGCUACACGAGCUGGGACUGCUCCAACUCUCUGCUCUCGCCUCUGGGCACCAGCCAGAGCUAUCUGGUGGCAAACAGGAAAGGAGUCGCUCUCGGUGACGUGAGAGGCCUCAAGGCCCAGUGGCAGGAUGCUGCGGACAGGAGCGUGUGCGAGGAGAAAACUGCCAAGGCGGGGCACAACAGGUACUUCCCAGCUGCCCUGACCAGCCCACAGGUGCAUGAGCACACAGCAGGCAAUGCCGCCCUUCUGCUGGGCAUGGACCAGGAACAGCUGGAGGAGCUGCUCUGGUUCUUCCGCAGAGAAGACCCCUCAACAUGGAAUUACUCUGUCCUUGCGCUGUCCCUCGCAACCUUCAUUUUGGGUCUUGCUCUCCUGACCGUUAACAUUGUGCGAAACAGGAAAAGGAAGAUCUUCAUGAGCAGAAACGCGGAGCAAACCCCGCUGCAGGCUGAGCUGGAUGCCAAGAAAGCCCUGAUACCUGUGCAGGAAUACAGUCCAGCUGAGCCACAAAAACAGGAGCCAGUGCCCCAGAACCAGAGACCAGGGGAAGUGGUGGUCCAGUGGAAGGACGGGACCCUCACAUCCCUAUACAUGGAUUUGCCUGAGGAAGCCAUAUAGCAGCAGCUGAAGUCAGACCAUGUAGGCCCUGAGGAAGGUAUUGGAAUAUCUCAUUUUGUAGAGAUGGAAGUUUAAAAAUGCAGUUUAGCCUGGGGAAAGAAAAGUCAAAAAGAAGAAAGCAGCAGAGUUGCACCCAGAGGAGAGGCCCUGGCCUCAAGGCAACCCCUGCCUCUCCAGCUCAGCUCUUGCCUGGCUGAUGUUCCCCUGCAGGUUUUGGCUGCCUCCAGCCUUCCCUCUGGCACCAGCUUCACCCCUUCCCUCAGGUGCUGCAAACAGCUGGGAGCUAAGCCAGGGCAGGAGGUGGGAGGUGGGAGGCUUGUCCUGCAGUCAGCCACUUCCCAUCAAGAAAACAGCCACACUGAAGCUGAGGCACUUUUAUUCUUUUCAGAAAUCAUCUUUAUUAAAAUACUUUCCAAAGUGGUGGAUCAAAAUCCCAUAUUGAAUCUCUGUCAGUAAGGUCAUAUAUAUAUAUAUGUGUAUAUACAUAUAUAUGGAUAUAUGUACAAAUAUACACAUGGAUAUUUUACUCUGCAGAGUAACUGCAACUCCAGGGAGAAGCAAAACAUUUAACCUGAUAGAGCACCUGAAACCAAACACCCAGCCUUUGGCCCUGGCUCGGGCACAGGCAGACCCUGGUGUGCUCCAGGAUUACUUUCAUGCCCUUCACUGGGCACACGUAGAAGCCAUGAAAUAAUUUAGGACAUUUUUGGAGAUACAUCAGUCUUUUAAACAAAGGCUUUUCAGACCAUGUCCUCAUCAGUGAAGCGUCUCCUUGCAAAGCCUUUGGAAAGGGACACUACAGUGUAAAAAGUUGAUUAAAAAAGCAGCAGUUUUGGUGUGACAUAGGUCGCUGUGUGGGAAUCAGUUUCGGGCCACCUGAGGCCUUCAGUCAGCUGAAACAGUAUCUGCACCUUUUUUAUUUGGAUUUAAAAUAAAAUAAAAAUUCCUUCUACUUAUUGCUCA